GACAGAGGGUGCAAACGUUGUUCGGAAUUACUGGGCGUAAAGGGCGUGUAGGCGGUUUGUUAAGUCUGGCGUGAAAGCUCUCGGCUAAACCGGGAGAGGUCGUUGGAUACUGGCGAGCUAGAGGAUGGUAGAGGCGUGUGGAAUUCCGGGUGUAGUGGUGAAAUGCGUAGAGAUCCGGAGGAACACCAGUGGCGAAGGCGACACGCUGGGCCAUACCUGACGCUAAAGCGCGACAGCAUGGGGAGCAAACGGG
rnacentral:rRNA from 1 species